UACAGAGGGUGCGAGCGUUGUUCGGAAUUACUGGGCGUAAAGCGCGCGCAGGCGGCUCUUUAAGUCUCAGGGUGAAAGACCGGGGCUCAACCCCGUGUCAGCCCGGGAUCCUGGGGAGCUAGGGACAUGUAGGGGCGAGCGGAAUUCCGGGUGUAGCGGUGGAAUGCGUAGAGAUCCGGAAGAACACCGGUGGCGAAGGCGGCCCGCUGGGCAGGAAGGCUCGCAAGAGCCGGCUGACGCUGAGGCGCGACAGCGUGGGGAGCAAACAGG
rnacentral:rRNA from 1 species